GAGUUUGAUCUUGCUCAGGAUGAACGCUGGCGGCGUGCCUAACACAUGCAAGUCGAACGAAGCAAUCGGGAUGAAGUUUUCGGAUGGAUUCCUGGUUGACUGAGUGGCGGACGGGUGAGUAACGCGUGGAUAACCUGCCCCACACUGGGGGAUAACAGUUAGAAAUGGCUGCUAAUACCGCAUAAGCGCACAGUACCGCAUGGUACGGUGUGAAAAACCCAGGUGGUGUGAGAUGGAUCCGCGUCUGAUUAGCCAGUUGGCGGGUAACGGCCACCAAGCGACGAUCAGUAGCCGACCUGAGAGGGUGACCGGCCACGAUUGGGACUGAGACACGGCCCAAACUCCUACGGG
rnacentral:rRNA from 1 species